rnacentral:tRNA from 1 species
UGGGCUUUAGUUCAAUAGCAGAACACUGCUCUGAUACGGCAGAGACACAGGAGCGUAACCUGUAAGCCCGACCA